GUUAAGCGACUAAGCGUACACGGUGGAUGCCCUGGCAGUCAGAGGCGAUGAAGGACGUGCUAAUCUGCGAUAAGCGUCGGUAAGGUGAUAUGAACCGUUAUAACCGGCGAUUUCCGAAUGGGGAAACCCAGUGUGAUUCGUCACACUAUCAUUAACUGAAUCCAUAGGUUAAUGAGGCGAACCGGGGGAACUGAAACAUCUAAGUACCCCGAGGAAAAGAAAUCAACCGAGAUUCCCCCAGUAGCGGCGAGCGAACGGGGAGCAGCCCAGAGCCUGAAUCAGUGUGUGUGUUAGUGGAAGCGUCUGGAAAGGCGCGCGAUACAGGGUGACAGCCCCGUACACAAAAAUGCACAUGCUGUGAGCUCGAUGAGUAGGGCGGGACACGUGGUAUCCUGUCUGAAUAUGGGGGGACCAUCCUCCAAGGCUAAAUACUCCUGACUGACCGAUAGUGAACCAGUACCGUGAGGGAAAGGCGAAAAGAACCCCGGCGAGGGGAGUGAAAAAGAACCUGAAACCGUGUACGUACAAGCAGUGGGAGCACGCUUAGGCGUGUGACUGCGUACCUUUUGUAUAAUGGGUCAGCGACUUAUAUUCUGUAGCAAGGUUAACCGAAUAGGGGAGCCGAAGGGAAACCGAGUCUUAACUGGGCGUUAAGUUGCAGGGUAUAGACCCGAAACCCGGUGAUCUAGCCAUGGGCAGGUUGAAGGUUGGGUAACACUAACUGGAGGACCGAACCGACUAAUGUUGAAAAAUUAGCGGAUGACUUGUGGCUGGGGGUGAAAGGCCAAUCAAACCGGGAGAUAGCUGGUUCUCCCCGAAAGCUAUUUAGGUAGCGCCUCGUGAAUUCAUCUCCGGGGGUAGAGCACUGUUUCGGCAAGGGGGUCAUCCCGACUUACCAACCCGAUGCAAACUGCGAAUACCGGAGAAUGUUAUCAC
rnacentral:rRNA from 1 species